rnacentral:rRNA from 1 species
GUGGGGAAUUUUGGACAAUGGGCGCAAGCCUGAUCCAGCAAUGCCGCGUGCAGGAAGAAGGCCUUCGGGUUGUAAACUGCUUUUGUACGGAACGAAACGGCUCUGGUUAAUACCCGGGGCUAAUGACGGUACCGUAAGAAUAAGCACCGGCUAACUACGUGCCAGCAGCCGCGGUAAUACGUAGGGUGCAAGCGUUAAUCGGAAUUACUGGGCGUAAAGCGUGCGCAGGCGGUUGUGUAAGACAGGCGUGAAAUCCCCGGGCUCAACCUGGGAAUUGCGCUUGUGACUGCACAGCUGGAGUGCGGCAGAGGGGGAUGGAAUUCCGCGUGUAGCAGUGAAAUGCGUAGAUAUGCGGAGGAACACCGAUGGCGAAGGCAAUCCCCUGGGCCUGCACUGACGCUCAUGCACGAAAGCGUGGGGAGCAAACAGGAUUAGAAACCCGUGUAGUCC